rnacentral:lncRNA from 1 species
UAGUUAUAAACAAACUCUUGAAACAAAAAAGAAUGACAUUUUAUUGUUUUUUAGGGUUUUCGACAUAGGAGAUAGAAAGGGUGACUGAAAAAUGGUCUGGAGUAACACAGCUGCCUAAGGAGCACAGGAGUGAGGAUUAUUCUACUCAAAGCCACCAUUUAUUAACUUUGUGUGUACUCGGAGGAGUGACAGUGCAUUUGAUUUGGAGCUGAUUCGGGAAAUCUGAUUCAUAGUGGAAAAACUCACAAGAGAAUAAAAUAUGUGCACAAGAGAGAAAAAAUGAUUAU